AACGAACGCUGGCGGCGUGGCUAAGGCAUGCAAGUCGAACGGACCUGCUUUGAUGGUAACUGAUGAGCAGGUUAGUGGCGAACGGGUGAGUAAUGAAUGGGUAACGUACCUCGGACUCAGGGAUAGCGGCGGAGCUUCGGUUCCUUUGCGAAAGUGCCGGUAAUACCUGAUGACCCCGCGAGAUCGCAUGGUUUUGCGGGCAAAGGUCCGCCGGUCUGAGAUCGGCCCAUUUCCUAUCAGCUUGUUGGUGAGGUAACGGCUCACCAAGGCAACGACGGGUAGCCGGCGUGAGAGCGCGACCGGCCACAUCGGGACUGAGACACUGCCCGGACACCUACGGGUGGCUG
rnacentral:rRNA from 1 species